CAAACAUUCAGACCACAGCAGGAGUGUUC
rnacentral:piRNA from 1 species